AUCUCCUCUAAUUACAAGAAAGUUUCCCCCUUGAUAAGGUGUUAAGGCCAAAAUACAACAAUACAAGUAAAAUUGAAACAUGACACAUCCACAAUUAAAUUCCAGUAGAGAGAUGAGGCCAAGACAUGACUUCUCAGUUGUGAUCCUUCUUCCUGUUAAGCUAUAGAGAUGAAGUAUUACCAAAUCAAGAACAAAGAAUGUGAGUUCCUAGAUGUGGUCGAAACCAAAUCUGUCUUUCCACAAGCAAAAAUUCUUUCUAAACCAUUUACCAUGAUGAGACAUAUUGCUGCUUGUUGUUGUUAUUCAGAUAUCAAGAAAAUGACUAUGAAAUGACUAAGUUGGUAAGAUUUUAACAAGGUUCAUAGAUGUCAUGGAGGAGCAUAUAAAAUCUCUAACACUACAACAACACCAGCCUCCUACUAGGCAAAUAACAAUAGCAAACUCAUGAGGCUUCAGCAGUUUAUCAUUCACUCACUUGUUCAAAGCUAAAAAUAACUUUGAUCAGGCAAUGUAGGCAAAGAUAUGAAACAUCAUCACCAGCCUCUCAUCAUCAAUAUCCAAAAACAAUUCUUUAAGAAGACAACACUAAAGGCCUCAGAAAUUACAUUUUGUAAAAAGUUAUAUCAUUAGUUUAUCAGACAAUGUAGGCAAAAAAUUUGAAUCAUCAUAGGCCUUAAAGAGAGAGUCAGGAAAAACAAAACGCAAAGAGCCUCAGACUAAUUAAAGAAUUCAUUUCAGAGGCAAAUCAAACAAUGUAGACAAUCUUUUUCAAUCAUCACUGGCUCUUUAUCUAAACCCAGUUCACAAAGGUUAUGACUUUGCAAAGCACAAAGAGAAGAAGAUAAAAAUCACAACUUUACUUAAUUCAAUGAAUUGAAUUCGAUCAAUUAAAACAAAAGUACGAAGCUUUUGAUGGUAAUAAUGAAAACUGAAUCGCUCACUGGCUUCUCUCGUUCAUAGAAGAUCGAUCAUGAGCCCUGAAUCUUUUUCUCACCGCCACCAAGAGGAGUUUUUAUCUUCUUUCCUCUGAAACCCUAGCAUCGUUUUAUAUUGCAACUUUUUGCGUUAUGCGUUGGGAAGGGCCCAUAUAUCGGCCCAUCAAAGCUCAACCGAAUUUCAAAUUGGAAAAGGCCCAUAUACCGGCCCAUUAAAACUCUUAAAACUUUUUUUUUUUUUUUUUUGGUGAGUUACUCAACUUUUAUUAAACAGUCAUUAAAAAAAAAAACCACAAGCUUUUCAUUAUUCUUUUUGCUUUUUUUCCCUUUUGUUCAAAUUAAAAAAUCUGGGGUUCCUGUUAAAUGCAAAGAAAAAAAGGAAAAAGGAAAAAGCUGGGGUUCAUGCAGGCUCUUAUCUUUAAAUUAAAGCUGAAAUUUGAAAGAUUAGUUUUUAGUAUUCUCCAAUAAAUUCUUCUUUUCUUCAAAAUGAUUGAUAAAAAGAAUCUGUAAAUUCUUGCAUCAUAAUUAGUUAGUAGAUCUCAUAUCCAUAUUAAAGAAGAUGUGUUGACAUCCUCCAACAAAUCCAAGGAGGAGAAAAGAAUGAAGAAACCAACAAUUAAGAAAGACUUAGAGAUGAAACCCAUAAAAGUAGGAAGACAAAACUUAAUAUGAGAGUUUUAAAAAAUAAAACAAAGACAAAGAGAGAGAUAAUUUGGGAGAUGUAAUGGAAGAAGGCCAAGAAUGAAGAAUCCUAACGACGAAGGUUCUUGACUUUGGACCAACCCUUCUUACAAGAUUUGCCGACAACUUUGAUGCCUUUCUUGAAGAGAUGUUUCAGCUCCAACGCCCUCAUCUUCACCUGAUCCUCAAAUGCUCCCAUCUUCUUCUUUCUUUCUUUCUUUCUUGGAUUCUCCUCUCUUCUCUCGGAGGUGAGAGAUGUGUUAUAAGUUUUGUUUGUGUCCUCGUCUCUCUCUCUAUGUAAUAUACAAGGGAUUUAUAUAAAUAUAAAUAGCUGUGAAAUGUUAUUAAUAGACUAAUUGGAUCAUUACACCUAAGCUAAGCUAUCUCUGCUGUUUUAUGCUUCCUAAAAUUCUUUUUCUAAUUUUGCCAUUGCUUUUAUUAAAAUAAACAUCUAUUUUUUUUUUUCUAUGUUGAAAAUUUGAACAAAAUAACUAAGUGGCAUUAGCUCAACCGGUAAAAAUCCUAAGCGAAUCUUAGAGGUCGCCGGUUCGACUGAUGCUUGGGACAAAACUAAUAUUACAAAAUGUGGUUUCGGGUCUGGGGGAUUACGGACUUUGGUCCGGAACCUCUGAACAAAAUAAAUGGUUUUUGCCAGUUAAAUGAAUCAUCUUAUGCGUGGAUCCAGAAUGGGUUUUGUACACGUGGUAAAAGAAGGACCGUUGGAUGUUUGCGAUGAAAAUUGCCAGCUUUGUAAUUCUCAACACGAAGUGGACCACCUUACUGGUUGGUGCUACCUUAUCCCACCCAUUAACAAGUCUUGAUUUUGGAUAUUACAUGUCAGAACUCUUGAAUAAACUAACCCGUGACAUACUUGGAAAUUGGAAUAAAGCAUAACCUUUUUCUUGUUAAUUAAACUCUUCUUACCUUCUGUUUUGUUGUUUUAGUCAACACACUUUCUCUUUCAUAAAGACUCUUUCUCUAAAGCUUUGAAGUAACAGAUCAGCUAUGGUUUUACACACUGUUUAUUCGCUGUCUUGUCUUAACAAAGAAAGAUUCGUUGGAACCAUUAUCCUUCUCAGUUACGUCGUUGCUAAAGAAUAGCGUAAGGAGAAGUGUCAAGGACUCAAGGCAUUAUAUAUACAAGGAGUGGACGAGCACUGACGUAGUCGUUGGUUUAAUUUCUUUGUUUAUUGCUGUAAUGUGCAAAAAUCUAUUGGUAUCGACGUAAAUGAGUUAUCAGAUAAUAGCUCUUAUCAACCAUUUUUUUUUUUUGUUAAAAGUUUUUCAAUACUUUCUUCAAAACACAAUUCACUUUCUCGGUUUCUCCUCCCAUACAUUAUGCUUUGAACACAAUUCUUUUAUUUAUCUAUACUAGUAUUUUCGCAACACUUUGCCACUUUGGUGACGGAUGGAUAAAAAUGCUUCUGGGUUAAUCGGAUAUCCGACCCGUUUUUUAAAUUCCUUAACAAAAAAAAUUGUUGGGUCGGGUUAUAUUUAACCCAACUUAUACAGCGGAUAUUCCAUAUUUAAUCAUUUAGAUAUUUAGAAGAUUUGUUUGAUUUGUUUUUAACUGUUUUGAAUCAUCAUUGUAUAAUACAUAAAGUAAAAAAAAUUAAAUUUUUUUCUGCAUAUACUGUGAUUCGAAAUUUAAAAAACGGACAUAUAUUAUCCAAUUGACCAAAAUGUGUGUUCAACGUUCUAUAUCGAUUAAAAUAUUUAGACAAUGAUUCAGAAUCAUAUCAUAAAUAAGAUCAACAAUAAUAAAAUAAAUGAGUUUUUUGGCGGGACGGGUUUUUGAAUCAACAAUAAUAAAAAGAUUAAAUAUCAUUAAUCUGUCGUUUCAAUACGGAUUAAAUCCUUUUGUUUUUUUAAUACCACCAAUAUUAGACAUAUUAAAUCAGUCUCAUUUAGAAAAGAUUGUAUAAAACCAAAAACUGUCCCGUGGUAUAAUGUUACUUAAUAAAAAUAUUUUAAAAUUUUAAAAUAUCAUUAACAUGCCGUUUUAAUACAUAUUAAAUCUUCAGUUUAUUAAAAUAUAAAUGUCUUAGAGAAUGAUAUGAUUUAUAAACUUUUAUAUAUAAUAAAUAAUUAUUAAAUUUUAAAAUAAAAACAAAUCAUGGAACGGGUUAAGAAAUUACGGAACGUGUUAUAUUUCGGAAAAGAUUUAUAUGGCGGACGAAUUUGAAUCAAUAUUUAUAUACCGUUUUAAUACGGGUUAAAUCCUCAGUUUAUUAAUAAUUGUUUCGUGGACUUGUGGUAUACCGUUACUUAAUAACAAUUGUAAACUAUAAUAUAAAUAAAUAUGUUAUAAGGAGAUACAAUUUACAAAAUAUUUUUAUACUAACUUUAAAAUUAAAUCAUCCCGCGGUGUUCCGCGCGUUAAAAUCUAGUAUGGGUUAAAAAUUCAAUCCAAACUCUUAAAAUAUUAGAUAUAUAUCCAUUUUGACACCCUUAAGUAUAACUUAUGAUGACAAAAAAAAAGUGAAAUUUUUUAGGGGUGUGCAAAAAAAACUUUUACCCAAAAAAACCCGACCAGUAAUUAGGUAAUUCAGUCUGGUUUCGGUUUCUUCCAAAUACCCGUUCGGUUAUAAUUAUUAAUAAUUUACUUUGGUUCGGUUCAGUUUAAAACCAUAAAACAGUUUGGUUUUUUGGGUUUCUACUUUUUUUUUUUUAAUUAUAAUAUCACUUGUUUGGUUAGCGUUCUAAUAUUUUUUCCAAUAUUGAUUUCCUCUUCCUUGUGAAUUGUGAUAUAAGCUACAUAUAUAAAUUUUCUCAAUCUAAUGAUAUUUAUUUAGAAACUUAUAUUAAUACAUGUUGGAGAAGAAAAAAUAAAACUCUUUGAAAGAUGAUAUAGUUCAUAAUAAUAUUAUGUUUAACAUUUAGGUUAUACAAAUAUGUUAAACUAGAUUCACUUCAUAGAUUAAAAUCAAAGAUGAUAUAAUUCAAAAAAAAAAAAAUGUUAUUUUCAUUUUGAAAAAUCAUGGAAUAAAAGAAAAAUAACUGAAACCGAAUGAAAUUGCAUAUGGUUUUCUAAACAUUUUCAUUUUUAUAAAAGAAAAUAAAUCGUAAACCCGAUAAAACAAGCCGUAACCAAACUGAGAAUUGAUAAAUUGAUAAACCCAAAAAAAAAAACUAAAUAUCAAUUUUUAUAGCUCACCACGAGUGUUUGUUGGUUUGCUAUAUGUAAUUUAUGCGUCUUCUUUUUUUGUUGUUGUUAGGGCUUUACAGAAAUUAAGGGGUCUGUUGGGCUGUGGCCUGUGGGAAUUCGGUGAUAAGAAUUUUGUGAGAGGUCGACCUGAGCUUAUGGAGGAGAUGCAUAAAAGAAUUUCGUUUGAUGGGUUUCUGAGAAGGGCUAAAGAAAGGAAAGCUCGAGAGGAUGUGAAGGUGAAGGACGGCUUCCAAAAUUUAAGAAUUUGAUCUUGAAUCAUCAUCAUCUUUAACAAUGCUUGGAACAAGUGUAGUGGUUUAUAGUUUAUACGUUGUCUUGUCUUUAAACAAAGAAGAGAUUUUUUUUUUUUUUGAAUAACCGCGGGUCUCCCAAAGGCUUCCUAGGCCCAAGGACUAAUCCCACGAGGCUGGCAAUUCCCCUAUGUAAACCUGCCAGUGGCCGUGCCUUGAACCCUGGUGGGAAAGUUUUCCUUGUCAUCUGAACGUGGCUAAGAGAGGAGUGUUAAGGCAUUGUACAAUGAGUGGACGAGCACUGACGAGGCCAAGUUCCCUGACCAGAUGUAACAUGAACCGAUAACGCACCCUAUCCCAAACAGCUGCACAAAAUCCUGACCUGAGAAGUGAGCUGCUGCAAAUACUCCUGAGCUGAUCACUAGUGCCUUCCACCAUUCCAUUCUCGACGCUAAGGAGGUCAGUAGAAAGCGUCUGUACACUAUCUCCUCAAGGAUGGGAGCUACUACGCAGUAGAGAGCAAAACACCCGCUUCUCGCCACUUCCCCGCUCACCAAUAUCUUCUCCAAUUCUGAUUCAUGUACAGCCUGAGAUCAAACAGCAUUGUUUCUGCUAUGUUAAUCAUCGUAGGAGAGAAUGGUGUACUAGAUCAGGAGGCAAUUGGGGAGACCUUAGAGCCAAAGAGUUGAUCAGCUACAAGCGACGUGACGAAGAUAAAGCCCACAAGACAUCCCAAACCCAAUGCUGAGCCAACCACCCAGUUUCUUUCUUCCCUUGAUUCAUUAUUACCCUUUAGAAAGUUGAUUGAUUUGCACUGAGGCUUCGCUGUGGUCCUCAGCAGCAAGACUGUCCCUGAAAGUUCUACCAUUUGGAGAACCACAAGUGAUAGCACCUGUAAAUUGUAACCACAGCAUGAAUUUCAACAAGAAAAAUCAACUGCAGAAUCAAAAUGACAGAGACUGGGUUUCACCACUCUUAACAAGCAACCAAAUGCAUCUCACAUAGGUAGAAAACUAAACUGCCCUUUGCUCAUCUCUAAAGUGUACAAUUCAACAAGAUAUUGAACAGUCUUCUCGAACAAAAGGAAAGGAGACUCACUUGGGUCUGAGGAUCAAGAACCUGCCGGUGGAGUAUGUUGGCAACAAUGGAUAAACCCCCAAAACUGAGAGGAAUAUGCAGAGAGAACAUGUAAAGAGCAAAUGUGCUCCAUAUGUUAUUAUCUUCCCAUGGAAUCUCUGAUGCCAAAACCGAGAACCCAUCUUCAUUCCCCAACUUCUCAAUCUAUAAAGCACCGGACUUGGACUUAGAAUUACCAUCAAAAUCAAAACUAAUUAUAAAAAAGGAAACUUUAUCCUAAUCUGAAACGAAGACAUCUCAUGUAAUGACUCAAUGAAAGGAAGGAGACGUACCUGAGUAGUUUCUUGUGUGGAUUUGCUUUUGAGACAAGAGCAUCUGAGAGAAGGACGACAAGUGGUAGUAGAGGAGAGACCACGAAACUCCGAAUGUCUUCGUCGGUCGGAAACCUUAGUAACCGGCGUGUUGACGCAACUGAAGGAAACCCAUCGGCCUAGAAUCAUCGCCGUCUCUGACCAGAGAGUCUCAUAGAGCCAAGCCACUUCAACUUUCAAGUUACCAUGGAGAGACCAAUUCAAUUCAAUUCUUGUGGUAAUCCAAAAGAAUUGUUUUUUCUUUUUUUGGCAUCAAGUGUGUUUUUUUUUUUUGUCAAUAGAUAUCUUCUUAGCUCAAAAAAGGAAAAAAAAAGAUAAUCUUUUUUCAUAAGAAAGGAGAAAACAUCUGGAGCUGACAGGAUUCACAAAAAAGAUCAUUUCUUUUUCGAUUUCUCUUCCUCCUAGACCCAACCGACGAAGAGAAUUUGAUUUGUUGUUGGUUGUGUCUGGUCUCUUCGUCUAGGGUUUUUGGGUGAUUAAAGAUGGUGAGGAUCGUGAGAAGUUGUUUACAGUCCAUGUUAAAGCUUGUGAAUUCUCUAAUUGGGAUGGUUGGGAUUGCUAUGAUUCUCUACGCUGUUUGGCUGAUUAGGCAAUGGCAAGAACAAAUGGGAAAUCUUCCCUUUGCUGAUUCUGAUCACCCUGUUCCAUGGUAUGUCAAAGUUUCCAUCUUUUUAUGUGUUUGAUCACUUUCUGGCUAUUUGGGCGUUUGUAUCUUUGUUUAGAAUCUAUGAGUGGUUUGAGAAUGGUACUGAACAAAAUAGGCAGGGACAAGAUCAUAGAUUCUGUUAGCUUGAGGUGUGUGGAAGCUAGAAGCUGUUAGGCUAUGGAAGAGAGAGUUUUAGGAUUCUUGUAAGAUUUGAUGGCACUGCAAAUGAGUGUCACAUCUUGUUGGGGAGGAGCUAUCUUUGUUUUCGUAGAAAGAUCGUAAAUUCUGUAAGCUUGAGGUGUCUAGAAGUUGUUAGGCUAUGGAAGAGAUAGCUUCAGGAUUCUUGUAAGAUGGCACUGGAAGGGAGUGACAUAUCUUGUAUCUGUGUGAGGGGGAAGUUAUUAUUGUUGUUAAUUGUUAUGAAGUUUGCCAUUGCUGAUGAAAAUUGCUGAACCAAUCUUCUUAUGAGCUUCAGGUUCAUUUAUUCAUUUCUCGGUCUCGGGGCCAUUCUCUGUGUUGUCACUUGCGCCGGGCACAUAGCUGCUGAAACUGUGAAUGGAUGUUGCCUUUACUUGGUAAACUUCUUUUCUUUUUUUUUAUAAGUUGUUCCUGCAACUCUAUAUAUUGACGGAUUGUAGCAUCAUCUACCGAUCUACGUUAGCCUGUUUUUCUUUGGUAGUUUUAUUGUUCCUUCCUGAAUUCAUUCUUGUGUUUCUUUUCUAUGUGAAUAAUGCAUCUGUUUAUUGGCACAUCGACUGGGUUCAGUAUAUGGGAUUCAUUGUCUUGCUAGUUAUGGUUGAAGGCGGUGUGGUUGCUGAUAUCUUUCUAAACCGUGACUGGAAAAAGGUAUAGUUUCUAUAUAUCUUUUCUUUUGAAAAAUCUUGGGAGGCUCUCUAUUGUCACGCCCAUGAUCCUAAUCUUUUAGAAGCUUUCACCAGGACUUUCCAGAGGAUCCAAGUGGUGCUUUCCACCAGUUCUCUAAGUUCAUCGAGUCAAACUUCAAGAUUUGCAAGUGGAUAGGUCUCUCUAUUGUCUGUGUCCAGGUAUCUUAAUUGAUAGCAACAAAAAUCUCUACUUUAAGAUGCUUCUAAAUUGUUUGGUUUCAAUGUUUCACAGCGUUCUCUUUGUUUAUUGGCAGGGUCUAUCAGUUUUAUUAGCCAUGUUGCUCAAAGCUCUUGGACCUCACCCUUACCGUCAUUACGACAGUGACGAUGAAUACAAUGUAAGCACAGUUGCACUCCUGCAGGAUGGUCGUCAGCUGCCUCCAUAUGUUGUUGGAGAACCCAUGUAUGGAGCCAAACCGGGAGCUUGGACAGUUAGGAUUAAUGAAAGGGCGAACCGGUGAGAGGUGCAAACCAAGAAGCUCGUAGAAGAAAAAUGGGAAAGAGUCUGCUAUUUCGAUGUGUGCAUUUACUUUGGCUUCUUGUUGCAUCUCUUUCUUUCACUAUUAUCUCUUGGAAAUCUUGAAUACACAUAUACGUAUUGGGAUGUUCUUACAUUUAAAACAUUAUGUGAUGAAUGUAAAUCUCUCUCCACUCUUUUGCUGAUCUAACCAAGAUUUAUAUCCUGCAGGCUAGUCAUAUCUUGGUCGGAUCGGAAUUUGUCUUAUUUACAUAUCAAAAAUCUCAAAACUCGAAUACAAUUUAAUUAUUAACCAACUAUAGAGCAAUCACUGAUCAUCGUUGUUAAGAAUUCUUAUGGAGCUACUCGUUGUUAAAUUAAGCAAAUAAAAUAAUUGAAGACCAAUGGUAUUCGUAUUGGCUUAUGGGGCACAUGGGAAAAGAUUGGAUAAAGUCUCUUAUUGUGUAAGAAAAUAUGUGAAGGAAGGAAUUAAUUGAGAAUGUGAUGUGAUUAGUGAACUGUAAGAUUCCUAUAUGCACUGUUUUUAUUGAUACUCACUCAUCAUCUCAUCUCAUGUGACUUUAAUUGUAAUUUUCAUGAAUUACGUAAGAAUGACAUCUUUUUCUUGUUGUCAUUCUCAAUAAUACAAUUUGACUUUCUCACUUUUAGGCUUUUAGCUAAAGCAUUCUCAUUUGUAUAACUAUUCUCUGAUAUUUAUUUUUCUUAUUGAAGUUGUCAAUUGUAUAUUUCACUAGUCUUUGAUAAUGCACACAUGCCUACAUGUAUACCAGUAUUCAUGAUGGUUAUUAAGAAGUUCACUUAAAUAUCACAAGUUCAUCUCCAAUAUGCUGUUCUAUAUUUUAGUUACUUAGGUAUGUCAGAUUGUUACAAGUAUUCCCGUGGACUAUGACGAUAUAUUUGGAAAAAAUCGAUAAAUUCUUCGAUAGAUGGAUCGCUCUUUUCAGUUUAAAAUCGAGCUCGCCUUAAAAGGUUAUUGACCUUUGAACUGCAAGGUUUAAUUUGGGUCAUGCAAUGGUGGGAAACCAUGAUCGAUAUUGCUCUCAUUAUUUCACUGAUUCUAUGUAUUUGGUGUACAUGAUCUCGAAACCAAAUGAUUGGCUAGGUUUUGACUAAGAGCUUCGUGAAGUCGUCUCAAUUUAUACCAAACUCUCUGGCAAUCUACGAAUGUAGAAGUAGCAAUAGUCGACCAAACUUUCUAGCAAAAAAACUUGGAAUAUUAAUUUGUGUUCUCUUUUCUUAGCAAUUUUCUAUCCAUUUGGUUAAUUGCGAAUGUAGGAAACGUUUUUUAUUUUAAAAAUUCAGAAGUGAGAAAGAAUUAGGUACAAUAAUUAACAAGCUGCAUUCACCAUAUUUAAAUAAGAAAACAAUGUAAAUAAUCAUUUCUUAAGAUAAACUUUUGUAAACAUAUACAUAGUUACGUGUACGACUUACAUGUACAUCAAACUUUGUAAGCAUGAGUGUAAUUGACAAUAAAGAAAUACUAGAUAACAACCCGCACGAUGUGCAGGAUGAAGUGAUUUAAGUAAAAUUAUUAUGAUUAAAAUUAUUAUUCGGGAUCUAAGAUCCGUUUGUGUAAAACGAAACAUGUUACAAUUUUUUUUUGUUUUAUUCAAAUUUGGGACUAUUUCAUAUAAGAAUAUGUUUUAUCCGUGAAAUAUUUAAACUUUGAAUAAAGCUUCAACGUGAUAAAAAAGUAUUGACGAAAUGUUACCAUUUAUGGCAAUAUGUCUUUCCGUAUGUUUUAAAGAUUUUGAGAUUUUGUAGUAUAAAAAGAAAUUUUUUUUUUUUAAUAAGUAUAAGAAAUCCAAAAUUUAGCAAAGAUGAGAUUUGAUAGUUUCGAAGCUAAGAUUUUGUAGUGUUCCAAAUCUAAGAUUCUUAGAUUAUGAAUGGAUUAUUUACGAAAUAGUUAUAAUGUGGCCAGAUUUUGGUUUAUAUACAAAUGUGGUUAUAAUGUUUUUCUUCGAAAAGUUAGAACUCCUCCAAAAAAUAGGAUUUUAAGCAUUCGUAACAUAUAUAGAAAGGAGAUUAUUUUAUUUAUUUAAGUAAAAAAUUUAUGAAAGAUGUAAAGAUUUUGUAGUUUUGAAUUCGAGAUUCUUGAACCAAAUAUAUAUAUUUUAUCAUUUAAAUAUAAACAUAAAUAUAAAUAUAAAUAAAAAGAUUGUUUACCCAUCCACUAAAGAAAAUUUAUAUAAAUGUAUAUAAAGAAAUAUAUAAAUAUAUAAAUAUAGUAAUAUAAGAUAAACAAAAAGUGUAUGUUUUUAAUUAUUAAUGGGAUAUAUGGAUGUAUGAGACUAAUGACAAAUUCUGUAAAUAGUCUAAUAAAUCUUGGAUAAUUAUCUAAAUAGAGGUCAAAUCAUUGCGAGAGCGACACAUCAGCGUGGCAAUCUUGUUAAUAACACAUGAUGGUAAGGUUUUUUUUAAAAAAUGUUUCUCUAUUAAUAUAUAGGGGAUUUCCUUCUGAAUUUGUAUCUAAAAAUUUUACUUUUUCAAAUAAAUAAAUAAAUAAAUAAUUUUCUUGUAAGCUUCUUUUAGAAAGAUAAUAAAGUAUAACAAGGGUCGAAUAAAUCUUAAGGAAUAAGGAUUGUGACGGAGUCAUGUGCGGUCUGCCAAAAUUAUAUUAAAAAAAAAACCUUUAAUAUUGCAACAAUAUUAGGUUUUUAAAACUUUUUCUUGUUCUCUUUUUCCACAAAAACAAAACAAAAUGCACUAAGCUAUGGUUGGUUGUUGACUUAAAUAAAUACGAAAUUCAGAAACAGUUAAAAGAAUAAUAGUAUCUUCGAGUGUUGAAAUGAUUUAUGCGCUGUGAGCAAGACACUGGCCAUCAAGAUUCCGUAUUUCCAAAUCUUAUCAUAUAAAGAUCAGAUACACUUUUAUUAAAUCUUAUUUUAUCUAGUUUGUGUUGUUUUCCAUGAGCAAAAAAUGUGGUCUUAUAUUGUUAAUCUUUCAAAGAAAAAUAGUUCAAACAUAUUUUAUUAAAAAAAUAUCGAAUAAAAUUAAUUUUCAAUUUUGGGACAAAAAUACAUUAACAAUUAAAAUGUUAUUUAAAUCUCCAAAUUUUGAUUGACCUCUUAGUAAAAUAGUUACAUUUCAUUUAUUUGACCACAUUAGGAAUGUCGUUAAGUUUCCAAUAGAAAUAAAGUCAAUAUGGGAGUGGAAGAAGAUCAUCUCUAAAAAAUGUUUAAGCUGGUCAGUAGAGUGUAGACUUUUAAACCACAAAAAGGCUAGAUUGGGCCUAGGUAAUCCAUCUUUUUUUCAUAACCGCCUCAGUCUCCGAUAGGGUUCGAACUGUCUCUCGUUCUGGUGGAAUCGUAACGGAAACUUAACGUCAUGUCUAAUCCGGCCAAGUUUACGAAACUUAACUAUAUUACUAAGAGGCCGACUAAAAUUUUGGACUUUAAAUAACAUUUGAAAGGCGAUGUUUUUUUGUCCCAAAUUUGAAAAUUGAUGUUUUUUCGACAUUUUUCCAUAUUUUAUUAGUUAAAUUAAAAUUUUUUUGAAGAUUAUGACGUCAAAAUAAAUUGGUAACUCGUGAAUUGACUAAAAAAUCCAUUUACAAUUUUUUUCUAUUUUAUUCCAUAUACAAAUACCAAAGAAAUCCAACAUAAUUCACUUUUGCUACUCUUAAAUUGUGAGGUCAUAUAUCCUCACAUCUUCAAAUAAUCCACAUAUUCUACCAAUAAGAAGAAGAAAAAAAACUUGUUGAUGUCUCUAGUUCAUAUUGAAACAAACACAACAUAUGUUUUGGUUGGUAACAUUUAUCAAUCGGCACAAGGUUUACAACUCUAAUCAUUGUCAUAUAUUGUUUUGUACCGCUUUUCUUUACGUUAGAUUUGACUGGUUUAUUUCACCAAUCGAAUCCACAAGGAUAACCAAUAACAAUGUUAAACAAGAGGCCAUGGUCAUAGUAUUACAUCAUAUAGUCAUAAGCAAAAAAAAAAAAAAGAGAGAAAGAAAGAACAAGUGUAAGAGUAACGGAAGAAUCUUGUCCCAACCAACAUUGGCUUCAAAAUAAAAACGAUGGAAUCUUAUAAUUGCAUAAACACACACACACCCCUUACCCUACGGGAUCGUGCUACAUCAAGCCCCUAACUGUCAGUAGGUCCCAUCCCCCUCAAAAAUGGCACACUUCGUAAAUAAGAAGAAUGAGUCAAGGACAUAAUCGUCAUUUUCUAAUUUGAUGCAAAAGACUUAACCAUAAACCAUUCCUCCUAGCUUCUUCCCUCUCUAUUUAACCAACUAACCAACAAUUCUUCCACUCUCACUUCUCCACUUUUUUUUUGGUUUUUUUUUGGCUUGUCUCUCCGGUCAAAAUGCAGCUCUUUCCGGUCAUCCUACCGACACUAUGCCUCUUCCUCCACCUUCUAGGAGGCGGCUCUGGCUCUACUCCAUCGUUGACUCACUCCAGUCAACAAGUGGCAGUCACCCGUUGGCUUCCCGCAACUGCCACCUGGUACGGAAGUCCCGAGGGCGACGGCAGCAGUGGUAAACAUUUCUUUACAUAAUAUCCACAACAAUUGAUUUACUUUUUACAGUAACAAAGUCAAAAGUUUACUGCGAAAUCAAUAACAAUGCAAGGGCUUAUUAAUGAAACCGCAGGAGGAGCUUGUGGUUACGGGUCACUAGUGGACGUGAAGCCGUUUAAGGCAAGAGUUGGAGCGGUGAGUCCGAUUCUGUUCAAGGGUGGUGAAGGCUGCGGUGCAUGUUACAAAGUCAGGUGUCUCGACAAGACCAUUUGCUCUAAGAGAGCAGUCACCAUUAUUGUCACCGACCAGUCACCGUCGGGACCAUCUGCUAAAGCAAACCACACUCACUUCGACCUUAGCGGUGCCGCCUUUGGACAUAUGGCUAUUCCCGGCCAUAACGGUGUCAUCCGCAACCGUGGCUUAUUAAACAUCCGCUACGGCCGGUACCUCUUGGCGCUCUAAAUAACCAACUUAUUAUUUUAUUUAACGAACAAAUGAGUAAAUGGUUUUUUCUUACAUUGGGAGGACUAAACAAACAACUAAAGAAGCUUUAACGGCGUUCUUGUCUUUUAUUGAUGGUCCCGUAUUUUGACCUUUGACUACACAACACACACCUAUGGAUCUCUGACACACACCUACACUUGUUUGUUUUUGUUUUGUAAAACAGAACGGCAUGCAAAUACAAAGGGAAGAACAUAGCCUUCCAUGUGAAUGCAGGAUCAACAGAUUAUUGGUUAUCUCUUCUCAUUGAGUAUGAAGACGGUGAAGGAGACAUUGGCUCUAUGCACAUUCGUCAAGUAAUAUUUCUCAUUACUCUCUCCUACAUUUUCUUUAAAAUGUUUACUUAAUUUUACUUCUUUUGUGUGUUGAAUUAUGAAGGCGGGGUCUAAGGAGUGGAUAUCAAUGAAGCACAUAUGGGGAGCAAACUGGUGCAUUGUCGAAGGACCACUCAAGGGACCAUUCUCUGUGAAGCUUACAACUUUGUCCAACAACAAGACACUCUCUGCCGCCGACGUCAUCCCCAGUAACUGGGUUCCCAAAGCUACUUACACCUCCCGCCUCAACUUCUCCCCUGUUCUCUAAUUAACCACUCUUCGUUUUUUUUUGUUGUGGGAGAGAGUAACACGGAGAGGACAAUGAGUGAGCCAUCUCCAAAGUUAGGGGAAGAAGAGCUUGCAAUGUGUGUGUGACUACUAACUUUUUAUGUUGUCCAUUUUCAUUUUUUUUCCUUGUCCAUAGGGAUGUGUGUAUCAAUCAUCUAUAAUCUUGUUUGUGGGACAUUACUAUAUAUAAGAAGAGAAUUUACAAAAGAUGUAAUAAUGUGCAAAAUCUCAUUCCUUUUUUCAUCCAACUCUUUUGCCAGCCCCUCACAACUAGGCGACUCUUGCAAAAUAAUAAUACCUCAAAUUAAUGUGUUUACAUCAUUCACUUUCUAACAUGUUCCUACUUACAUUAUACAAUACAUUGUGUGCCUGGAAAGAGACGAAACAACUGGACCAGACCACCACGUGCCCCAUUAUCAAGUCACUACGAAAAUAAUGUAUAGAUGGUUCACAUGCCAUGACACUACUCAACUACCUUAUGCCCACAUCAUACAAUCAAAUGAUUCAUCCAACAACCUUUACUUCUCAAGUCUUAAUAAAUGUGCACAUAAGUAUAAAAUACGUGGAAACAAAAUGAUUUAAGGUGAUCAUCCAAGACAAAAACCAAAUUUUGCAGAAGAAAUAUAAUGGUAAUAAAAAAUAAUAAACCAAAACAAAAGGACUAAAAAUUCUCUCUCCAGAAGAGGAAAUGGUGUGCUCACAGACAUCGCCCAAAAGAGCUUCAAUGUGCACAUUACUUACCUCUUCUUAUUUCCCCCGCAGCUAUUGUGACUUCAAUAUCAAAUAAUCCCCCAUCAGUAAUACUAAAGACCCUUCACUCUGCCUUGGCUCCCUCGGCCUCAGUCACAGCUACAGGUUUCUCUCCCUCUCCCGAGGCAGCAGCAUCAGGUUUCGCUGUUUCAACACUUGCAUCUUUGGCAGGUGAAGCAGGUUUUUCCUCUGUCACCUUUGGAUCUGCAGGUUUCCCAUCUUUUAAGUCCUUGGCGUCUUUCCCAGCUUUUGCAUCUUUGCCAUCUUUGGCAUCCUUCCCAUCUUUGGCAUCUUUGGCUGGAGGAGGAGGCGGCAUCAUGUGAGGUGGGGGAUUUGUCUUAAGCUUCAAGAAUAUCUGUCUCAUUCUCCCUAGAUCAGUUGGCUUCCCAGGUUUAGGACCCUGGAUAACAUUCACUGAUGGUUUCUUGUCCGGAUCCUUUUUCCCUCUCUUCUUCUCGAUGUUGGGAACCUCACGAGGGAUUAGCUCUGCAAUUGCUUUCCAGUAAUGCUUGUCAACUUCUUUGUGGAACUUCUCUUGGUUAGCCCAGUAUAGCUGCAAGAGAGGCAAAUAUCACACAAGUUUCCAAUACACCCAAAAAUCUCAAAUGGCUGCGAUUGUGAAUUUUAUCACUACUUACCUUCUCCUUUUCGCGGUUAUCAGUCUUGUUGGUUUCAAUGGUCUUCUCUCUUUUCUCAUAGAAGGAUUUCUUGUAUUCUUCUGCUUCAGUUAUGAUCUGAUUCCGCAUCUCCUUCUCUUUCUUUUCCUUCUCCUCAAGGUGAAUGGUGUUCAGACUGCACCAAUGCGUGCCAAAAUAUCAGUUUCAUAUAUGUUGAACAAGAAAAGCAUGGUGGUUCCAGUCUAAUCUGAUACAUAAUUGACACACCAGAGAAGAAGAGGAUAGCUACAACACAUACAGGUUCUUUCUUAUUCCAAAUCAGAUCAUAGAGAUUCUUUCAUAUACAUAAAACAAAAAGCACGGUGGUUCCAUUCUAUCUGAUACAGAAUUGACACAUCACAGAAGAAGAUGAUAGCUACAACACAUACACUAUUCGGACUCUUUCCUAUUCCAGUACAGAUCACAGAGAUUCUUUCAAUAUAUGAUGAACCAAAAACCAUGGUGGUUCAAGUCUAAUCUGAUACAGAAUUGAGACAUCACAGAAGAAGAUUAUAGCUACAACACAUAUUCUACUCAGGUUCGUUCUUAUACCAAAUCAGAUUAUAGCUACAAUGACAACAAGGUCACAUUUUUCUAAUAGAUUCUCGAAUUUUGAAGAUCGCAUAAUCGAAUCGAAUCUUAAACGAUUGAAAUCCUAAGCUUUUCUACCUAAGAAGACACUAAGAUCUAGUAAUCUACCAAGUCAAAAGCUUGAGAUCUAGCCCUACUCCACAACAGGAAACGAAUUGAAAUGAACAACCGAGAAUCAGAACACUAACCGGCGCCACUCACGGCGUUGGAAACCCUCCUCCCGCAUCUCAUUUGGAUCUGGAAGAAUCGGACCAUCGGAAGCGAAGAUCGCAUCACCGCUUCCGUUAGCAUCGUUAACGGAAGAUUCAAAAGGCGAGGAAAAGUCAUGGUUAGGUGAGGAAGCACCAAAUCCAUAUCCGUUUGGGGAAGCAGGAUUCUCAGAUCCAUAAGCUCCAUCACCAUUGAAAGAAGAGAAUCCACCGGAUUGAUGUUGAGUCGGAGGUGGCUGGGCUUCGGAGAAAUUAUCGUAGCCACCAAAGUCAUCGUGUUCAGAUGGAGAAUGGGUUUGAGCUGGGAAAUCUCCGUCGUCAAAAGUCGCCAUGCUUUUUGCUUCUUUGAGAUUCGCAAGAAGAAGACUUUUGAUCGCUGUGUUUUUUGAUUCACAAGGAAGAGAAGAGAAGAGAAGAGAAGAGCCUUAAACGAUGUCGUUUUUUAGUUUGGCGUAGAUCUGAUGAUUUCAUUUUAAAAAGGCCACGUUGACUAAAAACGUGUAACCAACUCACCGAACCGGUCGUCUUAAACGCUGCGUUUAGUCCUUCUUCUAGAAAGAGACAACAAUGGCGGAUCGGUUCUUCGAUAACGUGAUGCCUGAUUUCGUGAAGGAGAAGGAAAGUGAAUCUGGAGGAGAUUCGCUUAGGAAUCUGCUCGCUAUGCCGUAUUCGUCUCUCUCGCAGCAGCUCAAGCGAUCCGCUUUGGAUCUCAAGGAAACCGUAAGCGCAAAUCUACUCUUCUUCCUUUCGAUUGAUUAGGUUACUCUGAAGUGGUGACUAAGUGUUGUUGUUUGUCUUUCUCAGGUAGUGAUGGAAACUUGGGGUUUUAGUGGGCAGACUGUUGAAGACUUCACUCUUUACUCUGGAACUCUUGGAGCUGCGUUUUUACUCUUUAGAGCUUAUCAAGUUACUGGAAACGUCAAUGAUCUUUCCCUUUGCUUGGAAAUCGUCAAAGCUUGUGAUGCUGCUUCUGCUUCCUCAGGGUACCUUCUUCUUCUUCUCCAUUGUCUAUAGAAACAAGUUGCUUUGAAUUGUUGGUGAAAAUAUGAGACUUUUUUUGGUAGGGAUGUUACUUUUCUCUGUGGCCGAGCUGGUGUUUGUGGUCUUGGCGCCGCUGCAGCUAAGCUUUCUGGUGAGGAGGAGUUGCUCAACUACUAUUUGGCGCAAUUUCGUCUGGUGUGCUUCUUCUCAGCUUUGUUCUUGGUACAUUUUUUUGUUUUUCUUGGUUCUGAGAUUGAAAUCUAUCAUUUUUAUAACAGAUAAGACUAUCUAGUGAUCUUCCUAACGAGCUCUUGUAUGGAAGAGUUGGUUAUCUAUGGGCUUGUUUGUUCAUCAACAAGUACAUUGGCAAAGAAACUUUGUCUUCAGAUACCAUUGUAAGUACAAUUCUUAGGAAGAUAGAGAUAUUGAUGAGUCUCGUUUAGUUUCUUAAUGAGUAAGACUCAGUGUGCAGCGGGAAGUUGCUCAGGAGAUUAUCAAGGACGGAAGAUCAAUGGCUAAGAAAGGAAGCUCACCGCUUAUGUUUGAAUGGUAUGGCAAACGGUACUGGGGUGCAGCACAUGGGCUUGCUGGUAUUAUGCACGUAUUGAUGGAUGUUCAGCUGAAGCCUGACGAGGCAGAGGAUGUGAAGGGAACCCUUAAGUAUAUGAUCAAGAAUCGGUUUCCAAGUGGAAAUUACCCUGCUAGUGAAGAGGAUAGGAGGAAAGAUGUCCUUGUGCAUUGGUGUCAUGGAGCUCCUGGGAUUGCUCUCACACUUGUGAAAGCUGCUGAGGUGACGAUGCCUUUUUUUAGUUAGAAUGUAUGUGUCUGUUUUUAAAUGCUUUCUAGACAUUAUUGAGAGAGAGAGUUGAUCUCUGGGAAAUGAAAACAAAACACACAGGUUUUUGGGGAGAGAGAGUUUCUGGAAGCGGGUGCAGCUGCAGCAGAGGUGGUUUGGAACCGUGGAUUGCUCAAGCGGGUGGGGAUCUGUCAUGGAAUAAGUGGGAAUGCAUAUGUUUUUCUCUCGCUUUACAGAGCUACGGGAAUGAGUGAGUAUCUGUACCGUGCAAAAGCCUUUGCCAGUUUUCUGCUUGAUAGAGGCCCCAAGUUACUCUCAAAAGGAGAAAUGCAUGGAGGUGAUAGUCCUUAUUCCUUGUUUGAAGGCGUUGCAGGCAUGGCCUAUCUCUACCUUGACAUGGUCGACCCAUCUCAAGCCAGGUUCCCAGGUUACGAGCUUUAAACUUCUAGAUCGAUAACAAUCUCCAUACUUUUGUCCAUCAAAUCCUUAUCUCUUGUUAUGGAGGAGGCACAAGGUAAGAGAGGGUGUGUGUAUGUGUGUGUUUAGUACUAGCAAAAUCUUGUUGUUGUUGUUUGACGGUGAAUCAGUUUGAGUUGAUAUCUAUUGGAACUCUCCGGAGAUCUGUCCGGAGAGCCUGUAACUUUAUGAUGUUAGAAGGAACACAAAGGUUCUGUCCUUUCUGUAUUGUCUUUUGAGUGAGUAUUGACAUAGUUUCUUCUCGAAACAAGGAAUAAAAAACAGAGCAUUUGCCUUCUUUGGAAUAUGCAUUGGGUCUAUACCAUCAUCAAACGCACUUACAAAAUCUGUCUUACGUUCUUUGGAUCUAAAACAAGAACAGAACACCAUUCUCUUCUGCCUCUUCUACUUUAACAUGUUCAAUUCUGCCCGUAGUAUAACACUCAAAACUCCUGUUCCUUGCGCACAAGACGCUCAGCAUCUCCAAGCUCAACUUCACCGUCUUUUCUUUCCAGCCCGCCCUGAAACAUCAACUCUAUCUGCUCCAGCGACUUCCCACUUGUCUCCGGGACUAGCGCAUACACGAAGAUAACCGAGAGUGCAGACACGAGGGAGAAAACGAAGAAGGUUCCUCCGACCGUUAUGGCACGUGACACAGAGAGGAAGGACAUGGCCACCAGACCGCUGCACACCCUGUUUCCGACCGCCCCAAGCGCUGAGGCCUGGGCUCUUAGCCGUAGUGGGAAGAUCUCUGAUGUCAAGACCCAGCAAACAGGUCCCAUCCCUAUAGAGAAGAAGGCAACAUUUCCACAAACAAAGAGAAGAGCCAAGGUUAUCCCAAGCGUUCCUUGGCCGAGGAAUGUGAGCGUGAAGCUUAGACAAAAGAGACACAGAGUCAUUCCAAUUGUGCUCACAUAAAGCAGCGGUUUCCGGCCAACACUAUCGAUCAGGAAGGUGGCAAAUAGUAUGAACACUGUUUUUGUAAUCCCAACAGCGACAGUUGCAGCGAGCAGUUUGGUCUCGUCUUGUAUCCCAGCCUCUUUCAGGAUCUCUGGACUAUAGUAGACUGUGGCGUCGAUUCCUGUGAUCUGCUGGAAACAUUGGAUCCCAAAUCCAACAAUCAGCAUUUUCCGUACAACAGGAGAUGGGCUUAGAAGCUCACGCCACACCGGCCUGUCCUCGCUGCCUUCUGUAUGUGCAGCCGCCAAUUGUAUCUCUGCAAGCCGCUCUUCCACUUCAUCAUCUCGUUCAUUUGUUUUCAUAAGCACCUCUCGUGCACUGUCCACUCGGCCUUUCAUCACCAGCCACCUCGGCGACUCAGGGAUCACACACAGCGCAAAUCCUAUGAACACCGAAGGAAGAAUCCCAACUGCAAGCAUGAUCCUCCAGCUGAUAUGCACGGAAAGCCCCGAGAAAGCGUAGUUCGAAACAUAGCCUAGCAAGAUCCCUAGAUUUAUGAAGAUCUCAGGGAACGAAGUGAAAAAUCCUCUGGCUACAGUAGGGGAUAUCUCGGCGAUGUAGACAGGAGCGAUCAUGACACCAAGUCCAAUCCCAAUGCCGGCUAAAGUUCUUCCGAUCAUCAAAACCUCGAAAGACGGAGCGACAGCCAUCACCGCAGCACCAGUCUGAAAGACGAGAGCAGCCAAGGCCAUGGUCCAUUUUCUACCGAUGGAGUCAGAGGUUCUGCCGCCGGCUAAGCUGCCGAAGAGUGAAAUAAUGCUGAGGCUACCAAUGAGCACUUCCGUCUGCACCUCCGUUAUUUUGAGAUCCUGCUGUAUGAACAACACCGCACCGCUCAUUACCCCAACAUCUGACAAAUACCAAAAACAGAGCACACACAGCUUUUCUAAGUCAACAAAGUAAAAGAAGAAGAGGAAGAAGAAGAAUCCGAUUAUAUGUGUAAAAACUAACCGUAGCCGAGAAGAACAUUGUUCAAGGAUGCAAAAAAAGCACAAGCCAUAACGUAUUUUCUGGUUCUACUGUUUCUAGCCUCUGCUUCACGAUGAUUCUCCGCGUCGGAGUCCAUUCUCUGAUACUUAUUCUUCUUAUUUCCGACAGAGACCGCCGGAAAACCCGAGCCACCGCCAUUUCCAACCUCCGGCAGAUUCAUCAUCUCCCUCCGCCGAGGCUUCAGACAGCAGACUCAGGUGGUGUCCGUUUUCGGAAAGAGAGAAUUCAGACAACGACUUGAGAAGUAAAGUCGUAGAUCUCGGAAGAAGGGCUUUAGAUGACCAGAUCUGAACCGGAGAGACUUGUUAAAAAUUUCAUCGUCUCUAUUUGACCAAAUUGGUGAAUUUUCUAAUGAGGUAAUCCAACUUGACUCCUUCCAUUGCCCACCUUUGUUUACAUAUUUAAGUCAUUAACAUUACGUUUCAAGAAAUAGAAUUACUUUUCCUACCAAAAAAAAAAGAAAUAGAAUUACUUUUAGAUUUUUUUUCUUAAAAGAGUAAAAAAAGCUGGAAAGAUAUUUAAGAACCUUAUUAAAUUAAGAUAAAUUAGAGUUUUCAAGGUAAUAAUAACAGCUCAUCUUUUAUAGCGUCAUUAGCACACUCUUAAAAGGCAUGAAAACAUUUAUUAAAUACUAAAUAAAUCAGGGUUUCAAAUUUGGACAGUUAAAACCUUUUUUUAUGAAAUAAAAUUGAAUUCACUUCCAAUGGCCGCUACCUAUGAAUGAGAUCUGUCGGUAGUUCUUCCAAGCUCAUUGGAACUACAGAGACUGUGUCAUUGACGUGGCACCAACUAUCUUUAAAUUGAUUGAUAUUUUUCUGCUAAUUUUGUAAUUUCGUAUAAUACAGACUUAAUAUUGCUGCAAAACUUGGAUUAUAAUCUCCUUAUGAGCUGGAUAUACUAUAUCUAGAUAGAAUUCUCUAUAUAGAACAAUUUCUUUCUUAGGCUUGUAGACUAAUUAAACAGGAGUGGCAACUUCAUGAACAUAACCACCUUAUGAGUUUUAUUGUCACAUGUUCCAUGCCAGACAGACUUGCAACUAAAAACAUUCAUCUUCUUUAUUUCUGAAUAAACAACAAUCAUGUACAUACGUUUAAUGCUUUCAAACUCAAACAAUCAAAAUCACUUCCUUGAGUGGGAAAAUAAAAUACCAGUGAGGUCGAGACUUGGGGGAAUUACACGACGGCUGCUGAUGGAGCCUUCCCCAAUGUGUUCCACAAUAUAUAAUCCCCUGAAGUCACCUGUUCAUGUACAUAUCAUGUAGAGCCUUUAGAGUUUUACCAAUCCAGUUCAAACAUCGCCUGGGAACUUUAAAUUUUAGCAGUGUCUUACCUGAGCAGAAAACUCAACCGGUGACUUUGUGGUUGGGUAGAUAUUGACCUAACAAAACAAAGGGAGGCAACAAUAAGUCGAUAAUAUGGGCUACCACUGUAAACUAAUCAUUCCAACUUGCAAAAGCUUACUGAUUUUGUGUCGAUUGACAUUCGAGAUACAGAUGCCCCGACAAUUUUGAACGAGACCUGUAAACCAGAAGAUAGAUUUGAACAAUAAACAAGUCCAAAAGAUUUCAAAAGGAAGCAAAAGACAUACAUACCUUGGCAUAAUCAUAGGCUUGCCAACAGAACGGUUCCUCCAACUCAACUGCUGGGAGAUCCUUGUUCAUUUUCUGCACCAAGAAGUCCUCCGCGUUCACCACAUUCUCAACGCUCUCAUCCUCACUCUCUUCAUCAUCCCCAUCCCCUCUUCUCCUACUCUGCAAUGGACUAAACUUGAUUGUCCCGGGGAAAGUAGCCUCAAGGCUUUUCCCAGAAAGACUACGUCCGCUUCCCAGAAUCCUCCACUCAACAGAGUGCUCUGUGGUUAAAACAGUCCCAGCUGAUGGAGUCCCAUCAAAUGCCACUAUCCGUCUCCGUGGAAAGGGCAUAGUAAUAGUGCAGAAUUCCAUUGACAGAGGAGCCCUGUAACCUUCCAUGAGGUGCACCUUGAAGAGGAAUGCACCCUCGUCUUCUGAAACCAUUGACAGCUGAUAGAACCCUUUCACUGGUGGUCCGAGUCCACAACCCGCCUGGUAUCGCAUGAGAACAAAGUUACCCAAGGGAGGCUGGAAAACAAUGUUCUGCUUGUCGAUCCCAUGUGCUGGAACUUGGGCACAUGGAUGGAAAGAUAUAGCUUCGAUGUGGGCUGUACUCAGCCCUGCCAGAGGAAACGACACAUCAGGCAGCCCUUCUAGCUCUGCCCGACAGUUUAUCUGUCCCGCAACAGAUACAUUAUCAGGAAUCUCAUCGCGGUCGUACAUUGCAGCGUUAACCGUCUCAUGAAUUGUGAACAAUAGCCUUUGCUUUCCUUUGUACAGGUAUGGCUUCCAUGCUGGUUGCUUUAGUUCUUGGGGAGGAGGAUCAGCAUAGGAAAAGCCAUUCGCUUUCAUAGCAAAUAUAUUAGACAAGCUGAGGUCCAAUGGAGUACCUGCAGAAGUGAUUAAAAGAUUCUAGGGUUUUAUAGCACAUCAAUCAGGAAACAAAUGGUCUAGCAGGUAACAGAAUAAACCAUAUAUGACAGAGAGAAAAUACUAACCAAACGGCAUAGCAGUAGCGAUAAAAUUUCUAAGCAAAUCUCUAUCCAGUAACCUCGACCCUGUUUUGGGAGCAUCUGAUGCUGUGGCUCCCGUCGUUGCAGCUCCAGACGGGGAAGAAGAUGCAAGCGGUGCAGCUACAGGUUUUGGCCUCGAUGAGAUACCAAUGCUUCCAGUUAUUGAAUCAAACAACCCACCAACUGAUGGAGACGCACUUACAACAACCUCAGGUUCCACAGUAUCACCAGAAACGAUGUCACCAAAUGCAUGAGCCACCAUGAAAGCCCUACAACAUGAGUGACAAGUGCAAUUCAAGGAGUUGAACAUCACUCUUAGACCUUGAGGAAGGAGAUGAAGAGCUAUAAGUACCCUGUAACGGAUGAAAUGUUAAGCAAGAGAGAUGACAAACUCAAAUCUUCACCAACAGCUGGUCCACAAUCAGAUCUCCUACAUAACUUGACGUAAUCUUUCAUCUCCUUUGGCUCAACCAAAGGCAAGACAAGGAUAGAGUAAAGGGCUUUAGUGUGCAGGGCAAUAGGCCAGAGAAUGUUCCUCUCGUUUUUAUCAGAUUCAUCAUCAUCAUCAUCUUCUUCGCUUAAGCAAAGGCUGAUAAUAUGACGAGUGAUGGGAUCAUCAACCCAAGAAUCCGAUCCUUUGGUGGAUUGAGCAACACGUAUACCAUAUCCACGAGUAGAGCCUUCCCUAAUUCGGAUUCGAAAUUCAAUUUUACAUUUCCAGAGAAUCUAAUUGAGCUACCAAGAGAAAAGUGUUGUACCGUCUCUUUCUUCGAGUAAAAGCGUUGGAGAUUUGCUGAUCAGUGGGAAGUCUAGGAGUGUUUUCGUUUUCCGACUUGUAAACGGAGCACCAUUGCUUCUCGACGACCGGAAACCUCCUGAUUUGCAUAGAAAUUGAGAGUUAGAAAUUGGAAUGAGUGAGAUUGGGUUUAUAGAAGAAUUAGAAACCUGGAGAAAACAACAGCUUCUUGAUUGUUGAUGAUCCAGAGAGCUCUGAUACUGCAACCAGAGGGCAUAGUUGAAUUGAUGUUAACGGCGGUUCCGAUCACAGAGCCGUUCUGGUUGGUUUUGGGACGAUGACGAAGACGACGGAGUAUCUAAACGAUGAUGGGCUGAAUGUUUGGGCCUUCGUAAAUUUUAAUGGGCCAUUUGUUAUUCGACUAUGAAAGGUCCAAGAGUCCCCAAAUCUAAUGGCCCAACGGUCAAAAUCCUUCAACCUAAUUUUCAAAUUGCUUCUUCUAGGGGAUUGGUGCAGAGCUCUGAAUUGAGCUUAAUUACCAUAGAUAUACUUAAGACUAGUCAAUCGAAGUCGAGGAAGAAUCGUAUCCGACAAGUUCAUGGAGCCGCACAAACAGAGAAGAUGAAUAAGAAGGAUGUUGUGUUGUGAAUAUGAGUAGUGUAGAAUGAAUAGUCGUCGUCUGAUGAAUCAAUGAGGGGAACUCUUUGUUAUGUAUGAGUUGGUUAUGAAUGAACAAGUAUGCUCGUGUUGCUUCCGGUGAUUUUUCGGUGAUUUUCCGUUGAUAAAAGACAAGAAUGACAAUGUAUCAUCAUCAUCAUCAUCAGCUCCAAAAAAGACAACAAACGAGCAGGCAAAAUUAAAGCAAACCGUAGAAAAAGAGAACAAAAAUGGCUUAGAUGCUGCUAGAGUCACGGCCAAAGACAAAGCGUCGAGUCCAAUCAGAGAUGACGAGCAUCCUUGUGCGCCAGCUUACCAGUUUGCUGGCGUAGACAGAGUACCAGAGCCACUGGCUGCUGUGUCCAAUGGAGACCCAAUCUCCUGGCAGUUCUGCUGCUGUCUGUUCCCCUCCCAGCGGAGCAAACGAUCCAAAAUGUCUGUACCUGAAUGGUUGGAACCGAUGUCGACCCUCUCCUCUAAACCUCAAUGGUCCCUCUGGCUUCCUCUCACAUUUCUCCAUUUUGUUGAAGCACUUUGCGAGGUACUUCCCUUGUUGCGAUGCAACCUGUCAAGAAUCAAUACAUCAAAAUGAUCUGUGUGGAUUGAUUUCAUCUUGUUUUUAUCUAUAAGAAGCUUACCUGUGCAGUUGCUGGAAGGUUCUUCAUCUGUGAAUCAACCUCAGAGAGAGCUUGCUUAAAAUUCUCGAUGUUUACUUGUGUGUCCUCACCAUUUGCACUCUUGAGCAAGUGUGCAAUGUUCUUCAGCUUAUUCUUCUUUAAGUAGAGCUCCACCUGAGGGUACCUCUGGCAAAUGUCUUUAACCACACCAUUGAAAUCUUUCUUGUUUAAAGUUCCUGUGUUUCCCUUGUCUGCUUUGCUGAAAAUCGCAGCUAUAUCUUCCUGUUUGUUCAACAACAGACCAGUCAUCAUUUGUAAGAUAUAGACACAAUGAAAGGUAUAUAUAUGUGGUGUUAAAAUGAUGGGAUACCAUGACUCUGCGUUGGUUGAUCGUUGCAGUGUCACCUAAAGCAUAAACAUCCUCACAUCCCUCCACUCUAAGCCAUUCGUCAGUAGCCAAGACACGUCUCUGCCCCUGUAACCAUACUCAAUCUAGUGAGGUGGGACAUUAGCAAAUUAAUGAUUUCUUCAUGCGAUCAAGUGUUAUCUAACCUGACCAAUCUGCUGCAUAAAGUCUCUGAUGACAGGACGUGAACCAAUUCCUGUUGACCACACAACCAUACCAUAAGGUUCAGAGACAAUUUUGCCAGUUUCUCUUUCCUUUGUGGAUAUCUCAUCAGCAGUCACUCCCACAACCAUUGAACCUGUCUUCAGAUCUAUACCGUCUCUCUGGAACUUUUCCUCAGCAAAAGCAGUGAUUCUCUUGUCAAACCUGUGGGGGAAUUGCACCAACAUUAGAAAAGAAGCAGAUAUAGCCAAAGUUAUAGAAGCUUGAGUGGAACUUACAUGUUGAGGAUGUGGUCGCCUGCUUCGAGAAGAGUGAUUCUUGUGAACUCUUGGACCUUUGGGUAUAUCUUAGCCACAUCCUGGACUAAGAAAUCAUGAAGCUCUGCUGAGAACUCGACCCCAGUUGGUCCUCCACCAACCACAACGAAAUGCAGAAUCUUUUUCCUCUCUUCUUCAGUUAGAUUAGGAAGAGAGGCUCUCUCGAAACAGUCGAUGACCGAAUGACGGAUGUUUAGAGCAUCCUCUGCUUCUUUAAGGAAAUAGGCAUGUUCCUCAACUCCAGGGGUGUUGAAUGUGUUAGGCUUAGCUCCAACAGCUAUGACUAGAAUGUCAUAAUCCAUGUCAAACUCUGUUGUGCCCUUAAGACUUGACCCUUCCUUGGACCGGCAGUGGAGUUUCUUGUUCGAUGGAUCAAUCUUCACACACUCUGCUUCUUUGUACUCAAAUCCUUUCUUGCGCAUAAGACCACGAAUGGGUUCAACAAUGCUACGGGCUUCGACAGUACCAUUGGUAACACUUGGCAAGAGAGGAGUGAAUAGGAAAAAGUUACGAGGAGAGACAACUUGAACAUCAUAGUUAGGGUUGUUCAAGUAAUUCAAGAAGCUGUAGCCACUCCACCCACUGCCAAGAACGACCACCUUCUUCUUCCUUAUUGGUUGACCAUCUGAGUCAAGAGUAGCGUCUGCGUGUAAUACACGUUUCAAUGGAUUCGAGUCUGAAUACACCAGUACACCACCACCACUGCACAACAAUACAUAAAACCACAAAUAUCAGAGAGAGGAUGAUAUAUAAAGACACAAACCAAAAUAAAUGUGAAACCUACGUUACCAAAAAAAACAUAGAUCUGAGUCUUAAGAAUGUAUAAUGCAUAGGAGAGGCCAAAAAAGGACAAAACUUUCAGCGAAAAAAUCGGAUUCUUGCAUCGGAGAGGUCAAAAUAUAACUAAAUAUACUAAGAAAACAGUCAAAGAGUUAUAUAUAUAUUACACAGCUGAAGGAAGAAGAAGAAGUGUAGGAAUGGUGAAGCAGAUCUAAAGGAAAAGAAGGAGAGACCUGAAAGAGCUGAAAACAAGAAGCUUGGAAGCAGAAGGGUAAGCCUUGAACAAGCUAAAAGCUCUCUGGUAAAAGCUAUGGAAGCUCAUGAUGAUGAUUCGGCAAAUUUCUCAAACCUCAGAUCCAAAAGAAAGCUGAGAGCUUUAUUAGAGAAUUUGGAAGAGAGGCUGCGAAUGUGAGAGAAUAUGCAAAAUGGAAACUAUCAAAGCUACUUUAGGGUACGUGAGAGAGAAGGUCGGCGACACACUAAACAAAUUAUAAAAAGAAAAGACAGUGAGGUAUUUAGGAAAUUGGAGUAACGCCCAAGUAAAUUUAGGAAUAUGUCAUUUAUUAUAUUCUUAGUGUUAUUUAAAAUUAAAAAGUAAAUAAAGGGCAGAUUUUUUUAGGGUUUGACUUCUCUCAAAACUCGAGACUUUAAACGACAUUAUGUUCCGCGUUCACUGGAGAUUUUUUUUUUUUUUUAUUAGGAACUCGAACAACUGUUGGAUUCGAUUUUGAUUUGUAUUGUUGAUUAUUUUACGAUAUUAUUGGGUGAUAUCAAUCAAAACGAUUUAAAUGGCAAUUUGGUUUGAAAUGCACCUAUUAAAUGUAUUGGGUAAGAGAUUCGAAUCUUUUUGGUAACAUUUUAUACUUAUUAAAAAUGUAUGAUGACGUGUACGCUGAUGUGUCGCCUAUGUGGACACUCUAGAUGGAGAUAGAUGGAGAGAAAACUCUCUCAUUAUAUAUAUAGAUUUUUGAAUAAUGUUAAAGCUAAUAAAGAAGAAUGGAAUAUACCCAAUUGAAUUAAGAGAAAAUUAGAAAUAAAGGAUGUCUAAUAAAAAGUUUGACUAUAUACAUUUUUUUUGUCAAAAUGUUACUUUGUACUAAAAUACCCUUACACCCAAUUUUUAGUAGUUUUUAAAAAGUUAAACCAGGAAAACAUGUAGAUAUACAUGAAUAUAAAUGAUUUUUAUAAAACAGGUGAUUUAGUUGAAAAAAAAAUUGAUUUUUUACUAGAUAAAAUUUCGUCUAAUAUUAUUCUUAGAAUACGUUUUCUAGAGUUCUACGAUUGUUAGAUGAACUAUUCUAAACUUUUGAACAUGUUCUACGAUGUUUAGACUAGUUUUAUGUUCUAAAAUAUUUAGAAGUCCGAUUUACAAAUUUCUAAAAAGUUUUGAACAUGUAUUCUAAGCUUUCCUCUUUGUUUUAAUUUGUUUGAAAAUUCAUUCUACGAUUUACAUUAUGGUCUGAAAACGUUAGGACACAAAACGAUUUAAGUAUUUUUGGCGAAUUUAGUUUUAUUUUAUUUUUCUAAAAAACUUAGACUACUUUUUCUAAACUCUUUAGAUCGUAAUCUAAACAAACAAUAUACUAUAUAAAAAGUAAUAUUUAAUAAAUAUUUAGUUUCCGUUUAUACGAUUUUAAUUUGUGAAAUAUUUAGAAAUCCUAAAUAUUUUUUUUUGAAACGUAAUAUUUUUAAUUUAUAUUUUCAUCUUUAUCUAAGAUUCAUAUAUCAUGUUGUUUAUAAUUUUAUAUUUUUAAUUGAAGAGUAGAAUUUUUAGAUUAUUUUUUUUAAUUUCAAUGAAGAUUUAAACACCGUGCUUAUAAUUUUAGAUUUCAACAUAUAUCAUGAUUUAAUUUGUAAUUGUAUAUGUUUUUUCCAAUUUCUUUUUCCAACUAGAAUAUGUGAGGAUUUAAAUUAAAUUUUUAUAUUUUUAUUUAUUUUUGGUGAUAGUUUUAGUUUAUUUGUAGUAAUAUUAGAUUGCUUAGUAUAAUUUCUAUUUUAAUAUUUUAAUUAAAAAUUCAUAAAUCAUCGUGUUUAUUAUUUACUACUUUGUUUUUUAGUUGUGUCAAAUUAAUUUUUUAAUUUCUCAAUCUUUAUUGGUUUGUCAUAGAUUCAUAUGAUUAUUGUUUUUAUAAUCUUUGUUAUAACGACAUUCAACCAUUUCUAUUAGAUAUAUUUUUUACUCAAAAACAAAUUGAGUCAACAGUUUUAAUAGGUGAAAGACAUUAUGUAAAAGUGAAAAUGAAAAGAUAUUUAGGUUGUUUAAUGUGUUCAUAAAAACAUUUCGGAGGUGGUGGUUAUGGUGGUAAAGAGCAUGUCGGUGGUUUGUGGUAAAGUAGAUAGUGAAUUUGUAAAUAGUUGUAAAUACAAUAACUAUUUCACCGAUCGUCUGUACGUAAAUUUCCUUUGACAAAGUUUUGAAGUCUUAUUGUAUGCGAGAAUUGCAAAAUCACUUUUUGAGAUUUGAUAAUAAUAAUAAUGAUAAAUAUUUUAUUCAAAUUUUGGUGAUUGAUAACUUGAGAUUACUAAAUUAUUGUAGUAAUCAAACAUUACAACAAUUUACUUAUAUAACAAAAUUUUACCACAGUAAUUUAGUAAGUUUACGCACAUCAGACGGGAUCUAAUCUAGUUCUUUAUACCGUACAAAAUAAAAUAUGUUUUAUGUUCAAAACUUAAAAAAAAUGAAACAUCUCAUGGCGAUUAAUUAAUCAAUUAAUUCAAGAUAAAAUAUUAUUUCUAUUCAAAGAAAAAACAUCUUGUGCGGAUUAAAACCUUUGAUGUGCUAAAACCAUACGAGUUGAUUCGAGGGGUUCUUGAAGAAGUUCCAAAAGUGGGUAACAAACUUGACUUGGAUUUGUAUGGAUGAAGUUAUGGGUAAAAAAAGGGUAAAUAUGUCUUUUAACACUCACUCGAUAAAAAAAAAAAAAAGGAACUUAAUUCUCAUUUUUGCAGCGAAGAGAAAGAAGAUGGUCGGUUGAGCUAUUUUUGCUUCUCCCGACAAAAUUCUCAGAUCCGAAAACUUGCACCAUCUUUCAAUUAUAAGAUCUGGGUUUUACACAGCGCUACGAGUACUUACUAUGGGGAGGAGAGGAGGCGAUAGUUUCCGGAGAGCUGGACGGAGGAAGAUCUCAAAUGUGGUCUGGUGGGUUCUCUCUGGUAUUGCCCUCUUGCUCUUCUUUCUCAUUCUCUCCAAAGCUGGUCAUAUUGAACCUAGACCCUCUAUUCCUAAGGUAACAAUUCAAUCAAAGAUGUCUUCUUUUUUCGAUUUCAAUUGCUAAAUUCCAACCCUUUAAUCCUUCUUUUGUGCAGCGACGUUACCGUAAUGACAAAUUCUUAGAGGGUAUGAAUAUGACUGAGGAAAUGUUGAGUCCUACUUCCGUUGCUCGUCAAGUUAAUGAUCAGAUUGCUCUUGCUAAAGCUUUUGUUGUCAUUGCUAAAGAAAGUAAGAAUCUUCAGUUUGCUUGGGACUUAAGUGCUCAGAUCCGUAACUCUCAGUUGCUUUUGUCGAGUGCUGCUACUAGGAGAAGUCCUUUGACUGUGUUGGAAUCUGAGCCUACUAUUCGUGACAUGGCUGUUUUGUUAUACCAAGCUCAGCAGCUUCACUAUGAUAGUGCUACUAUGAUUAUGAGGCUCAAGGCCUCGAUUCAGGCUCUUGAAGAACAGAUGAGUUCUGUUAGCGAGAAGAGUUCCAAGUACGGACAGAUUGCUGCUGAGGAAGUGCCUAAGAGUCUUUACUGUCUUGGUGUUAGUCUCACUACCGAAUGGUUUCAGAACUUAGACUUACAGAGGAACCUUAAGGAAAGGAGUCGUGUUGAUUCGAAACUCACGGAUAACAGUCUCUACCAUUUCUGUGUGUUUUCUGAUAACAUUAUUGCUACUUCUGUUGUGGUUAAUUCCACUGCUCUCAAUUCCAAGGCCCCUGAGAAAGUCGUGUUUCAUCUUGUGACUAAUGAGAUCAACUAUGCUGCAAUGAAGGCUUGGUUCGCCAUUAAUAUGGACAACCUCAGAGGAGUCACUGUGGAGGUUCAGAAAUUCGAGGAUUUUUCAUGGCUGAAUGCUUCCUAUGUUCCGGUCCUCAAGCAGCUGCAAGACUCUGAUACACAAAGCUACUAUUUCUCUGGGCACAACGACGAUGGGCGCACUCCAAUCAAAUUCAGAAACCCCAAGUAUCUCUCGAUGCUAAACCAUCUCAGGUUCUACAUCCCUGAAGUGUUUCCUGCGCUGAAGAAGGUUGUCUUUCUUGAUGACGACGUUGUAGUUCAGAAGGAUCUUUCGCCUCUCUUUUCGAUCGAUUUAAACAAAAAUGUGAAUGGCGCUGUUGAGACGUGCAUGGAGACCUUCCACCGCUACCACAAGUACUUGAACUAUUCUCAUCCUCUCAUACGCUCCCAUUUUGAUCCAGAUGCGUGUGGGUGGGCGUUCGGAAUGAAUGUCUUUGAUUUAGUUGAAUGGAGGAAGAGAAAUGUGACCGGCAUAUACCACUACUGGCAAGAAAAAAACGUGGACCGGACCUUAUGGAAACUUGGCACACUACCUCCAGGACUUCUGACAUUUUACGGGUUAACAGAGGCACUAGAGGCGUCGUGGCAUAUCCUGGGAUUGGGAUACACGAAUGUGGAUGCUCGCAUGAUAGAGAAAGGAGCUGUUCUUCACUUCAAUGGGAACUUAAAGCCAUGGUUGAAGAUCGGGAUAGAGAAGUACAAACCUUUGUGGGAGAGAUACGUUGAUUACAGUUCUCCUUUUAUGCAACAAUGCAAUUUUCAUUGAUAUCUUAGGGUCCUUAGUUUUACUUCCACUUCUAGACAGCUAUAUCUUCCACAUUUGGUUACAGAGACACUUGCAAGAGUUUUGUAUGCUCGAGCACCAUCACUUACUGUAUCUUGUGAAUGUCAUAUUUAAAUUCAAUGAAGCAUGAGCAAUUCUCUUCAUAUUCAUAUUCAAAAAGAUAUUUUUAUGUUUCAAACUUCAACUGAAUAACAAUAAACCCUAUAAUGUUGGCAACUAACUCAUCUAUUUCAAAAGAUUGUUUCUUUUUUUGAAAGUUAAAAAUGAUUCUCUGUAUUAUCUUAUAAGAUUGACAAGCUUCCUUCUCUAUCUUUCUCUCAGGUAGCAGAGUAACAAUGAAGAGCUGUGAGCAUCUACUCAAACCAAGAAGAGGAAAGUCCCGCGAGUUAAGUUCACGUUUUCUCUCCUCUCCGUCUGCAUUUUCUUCUCCUAACCGCAGAAACUCCACUUCUAAUUCAUCUACCAAGAGAGAUGAUCAGAACAACAACGGUCUGAAAGUUCAUCUCGGCCUGAAAAAGCAUGAUAGGAUGUCAGAUGGCACACGGGUUUGUUUCGGGUUACCAAACCAAAGUAGCAUAGAAGUUGACUCAAAAGAAAAUCGUAGGCCUUCACCGUGGAUGGAUGAUGAGGAUCAUGUCAUACUUCCUGGCAGAUUUUCUGUUGAUGAAUGUACAUUGUACAGAGCAUCAUCAAGGAGAAACUCAUGCUCUCUACUAUAUGAGUCCUUAAAUGAUGAAUCAGAUUCAGAGUUGAGCGAUGUGUCCUGUGCUUCAAGUCUUAGUACAAAUCGUUCAUCCCGGAACCAUAAUCCUGGUAUCAAGGUCUCUUCUAAGUAUCUGCAUGAUUUAACAGCUAAACCGAGCAAAGGCAACAACAAUGUGACCAAAAUAAGGUCACAAGAAGAUUCACAGAGAGCUAAUAGCUUUAGGGGCAUUGAGAAUAGGAUGAAGAGGAAUAAUUCAGUGUCCAGGUAUGGAAGUUCGAUGUCUCAGUGGGCACUUUCACCAGGAAGGUCAUUGGACACCCAGGCAGUGACAGUUCCAAGUUCAAAACUGAAGCCUCCAAGAGGCAAAGGCGUGGGUAAACUAAUCAACCUUGGUUUCGAUUUCUUCAGCAGCAAGAACAAGUCAUCGCCCUUUACUUCACCACUAAAACCAAAGACAUGUGACACAGAAUCUGCUCAUCAGCUGAAGCUUAUGAAUAACCGGUUGCUUCAAUGGAGGUUUGUCAAUGCUAGAGCCUCUGCUGCAAGCAAUAUCGUAGCCUCCCAAGAAAAGGUAAUGAUUUUCUACUCCCUGCUACUGCGGUCAUCACUUCUUCUCAUGCUUGUCACUUUAUUGAGUUUCACAUAAUCCUGAGAUCUUUGCUUUCUUCAUCCUUUUGAGGCAUGAAAUCAAAUAAAAGGGAACACCUUUUGCAGAAUCAACUACUCUGUGCAUGGGAUACUCUUACCAAGUUAAAACAUUUGGUUCUGCAAGAGAGAAUCAAACUGCAGAAGAAAAACCUGGAGAUGAAGCUGAUUUAUGUGCUUCUUUCUCAAGUAAGUAUCAGGUCCAAACCCAUUUACUAAGUCCAAGCCAUGGAGGAUAUAAGCAAGUAUAAACCGGAUUGUUACGAAAUAUAUCUGAAACAGGUUAAGCAUCUUGAAGCUUGGGAGGACAUGGAAAGACAACACCUUUCAUCUCUAUCCAUGACCAGAGAUUCCCUGCAUUCUGUUCUUUCUAGGCUUCCCCUCAAAGAAGGUGCAAAGGUAAAUCAAAUCAUGCUCUUCUGCUAACUUUUUGAACUCAAAACAACUUUUUUUUCUUGUCUCUUUUAUUUUCCAACAACUCCUAAGGAUUCAGGUGAACUUGGAAUCAGCUGUCACUUUGUUUAAGAAUGCAGAAACAGUCACUGAUGCUAUCAUUUCAACUGUGAAUAUUUAUGCUCCCACGGUAGGUUUUUUCGGCUGUGCAAACAAAUGUGACAUGAUAAUCGUGUAUCUAAGCGGUUUAACAACCUAUAAUGUUCCAUUAGCAGAUGGAGAGUAUUGUUCCACUUGCUUCCCAACUAGCGGAAGUGGCCACACAAGAGAAACUGAUGCUGGAGCAAUGCCAUGACCUUUUGAGAAUGAUUUCCGAGUUAGAGGUACAAAGAUUGUGUGUGCAUGAACAUAUGAAUACCUGAUCUGAUAUGUUUCUGUUUUCUGAUCAUAUUUUGGGAUGUACACAGAUGCAGGAGAGGAGCUUGAAGUGUUGCUUCCUGAUUCAAAACAAACAGACUUUCGAUAUAAAACUUCGGUAAUACUAGGACUGUUGCUUCCCCUUGUCAAAGCUUUGCGUCUCUGGUUUUUUAAUAAAGGUUUGUAACUCAAGAUUCAAUUGACUUAUUUGCAGAGAAUUCCUUUGACAGGCUUAAAACAAAAAGCCCCUUAACUUUAAAUCUAUUAUGGAAUUUUCUCUGUACCCAAGUUUAAAGUGCUCAUUUAUCAGCUUUUUGUCAAGGCUUACAAGGGCUAAUUGUGCCGUCAGCUAGCUUUGAUUGCAAUAAGCAGAGUCAAGAAGCCAUGCGUAGUGUCCUCUCCCAUGAUUAAUUGCACAAAAAAAUAGAUUUGACCAAAGAGAGAUUGAGAGACAGCCUCGUGGACUUGUUAAAACUCAAUCAUGUCACGUUGCAUGAUAAGUUCUUCGUCCACUCGAAAAACAUUAUUGAUGCCAUGGACUUGGAUUUACGAGAAAAGAGAGUCAUGCACAAGUUCAAAACAGAGAGAGACUACAUAAACAUUAAGGACAUAAAACACUAGUUUCAAAGCUGAUGAUGAUUACUCCGCCAAAGCGUGGCCCAGUUAUUUUGAACGAUUUACGUAAUUUACCAAGAAAUAAUAAAAAUGGGAAAUCCAAAAGUCAUGAAAAAGAGGGAAAAAAAAAAAAAGAAAAUAGAGAGACGCUUUGUUCUAUUAUAUAAAGGAACCCUAAAGAAGUGGUAAAGCAAAGCAAAAUCUCAUUAGGUUUCAGUCUCAAAAGUCACUUCAGAAACCCUAAAUAUAUCGAUCCAUGUCUCAGAAACGUUUCAAUACGCCGAUGGCUUCUUCAAGCGACGAAGAUGAAGUGGAGACUCCAAUCAGAGAAGGUGAAGACUCUUCGUCGGAUGAAGAAGAUGAUGUUGUGUCCUCUAAAAACCCAUCAUCAGCCGUGAUGAAGAAGCCAGUCGUUGCCACGGAGAAGCAAGUUUCUGAUUCCGAAUCUGGAUCUGAAUCAGAUGAAGAAGAAACUGAUUCCGACUCCGAAGAACCCGUGAAGAAAGAUGAGGUUGUGACUAAGCCAGUGAAGCUUGUAACCGAAGCCAAAGAUUCUGUCUUGAAGAAGAAUCAAGAUUCCAAGAAGGUGAAAGAUUCUGAGAAAUCUGUUUCAAAGCGUUCUCGUGAAACCGAUGAAGCAGGAGCCUCUACUGAUGUGAAGAGGGUCAAGAAGGUUUCAGGGGAAGCAGAGCAAAAGAGUGGUGGAGGAGAAGAAACGAAGAAAGCUUAUUUCCAACGUGUUUGGACUGAAGAUGAUGAGAUUGCGGUUUUACAAGGUCUUAUUGAUUUCAGAAACGAUACUGGGGUAAGUCCUUAUGAUGAUACUAAUAGGGUUUAUGAGUUGUUGAAGAAAUCUAUUAGCUUUGAUGUCUCUAAGGUUCAGUUCAUGGAAAAACUUAGGAAUUUAAGGAAGAAGUAUGAGAACAAUCUUGUUAAAGCCAAGAGUGGUGAUGAACCUACGUUUGUAAAAACUCAUGAUCGCAAGGCUUUUGAAUUGUCUAAGUUUGUUUGGGGAGCUAUUGAAUCAGCUGUGAAAUCUAGUGGGAAGUCGAAGAAGAGUAGUAAGUCGAAGAAAGUUGAGUCUGUGAACCAUGAGCUUGAUUCUUCUUUGCCCAAUGGUAAGAACGAGGGUGCCGCGGAUCUGGAUACGUUUCCCAAGUCUUCUCUUGUAAGAUGGCUAGUGAGUUUUGGUUUUGAUGAAUUUUCUGCUCAACAAGGAUUGAGUUGCCUUGCCUCAGAGGAUAAGAAGAGAUUCGAGGAGAAGUGGAAAGCAUUGCAGGUUAGGGAAUUCGAGUUCUAUUCGCAGAAGAGCGGUUUUCUUCAUGAAGUGGUAGCAAAGAUGGCUGAAGCAUUUCCAUCAAAUGCUUAGAUAUAUAUGGAAUUCUCUUUUGUUUUUUUGGUUCUGCCUUUUUUGCCAUGAACUCCGGCUUUUUUCUCAUUUUAGUUUCUAUUGACUCUUGAAAAAGAGUUCAUUUUGUAAUAUUGCGGAUUUAUCAACUUAGUUUCUAUUGACUCUUGAAAAAGAGUUCAUUUUGGAGUAUUGCGGAUUUAUCAAUAUAAUUUUAGUUUCUAUUGACUCUUUGAUGUGUCAUAGCCUCAACUGUUUAUUAAUCUCAGUGGUAACUACCACUAAGAAGGGAUCAGGACAAUCAAAUUAUCGUGUAAGUGCCUUUUUUAUUCAUAUAUGUUUUAUCUUUCUUGUCCACUGAUCUCUGAUUUUAGUUAUCCCCGAUGGACUAGUAGUGAAGACGUUGCAUAUAAAUUGAUCUAUCGCUUACAUAUUUUCGAUUUCAGUUAUUAGUGCUUACUUGUGGCCAUUGAUACUUUUUUUCUGGUCUUAGAUAUGGUGUAAUGGUUUACUUACUUGCAAUGGCUGUUACAUUAUUCAUAUCAGUUUCUUGUUCAUUGGAUUGUUGUCUGUGAUUAGGUCUCGUAAUAAGAACAUUAAAAUGUAAAUUUAUGUGAGUCAAGCCAAGAAUCUGAAUUGUCUUUCAUUACAAGCUACGUUGUUGACAAUAACAAUCUUAAAGUUUUUUCUUGUUUUUGUAAGUUAUAGAACUUUGAAAGUGGAAAAUUCAAACCACUCUUCCUUGCAGCCUCGUGGACUUGUUGAAACUCAAUCAUGUCACGUUCGUCCUUGUCAGAUAUUCUCCCCACUUGUUGCAAGAUGAGUUCUUCGUCCCCUCUAGAAACAUUAUUGAUGCCGUGGACUUGGAUUACGAGAAAAUUAAAAGAGUGAUACACAAGUUCAAAACAGAGAGACUACAUGAACAUUAAAGACAUUAAACACUAAGCAAUACGAGGCAAAACAGACACUAUAUAUGAACAUAAACAAACUGUCAUCAAUAAAGACAAAGGUCAUGUAACAUCCCAAGUAACAAGACGAAACUAAACUACAACUGAAUUAAGAACAAACGCUUCCAUGAUGAUGAUCACGAAAACCCGUGAAACUACCGUCUUCUAGUCUAUUGAACAACGAGCGAGCACUCUUUAGAGAAACAUGAGGUUCUCAACCUGACCAGGGAAGAUAGAGAUUACACGACGGUUCAAAUGACUAUCCCACCGUAAAAGCUUUAGUUCCGUGAUUCCUUCUAUGAAGAAUCUUCUCACAGCAUUUUUCUUGGGAUCAUAAUAGAGAACAUAAAAUGGUGGUUCAUGAAACAUUGUUUCUGGUGCCAAAACAAACUCACCUGCAUCCGUGAGACAAAAGACUUGAAAAGAUGCAUGAUUCAGUGUUCCAACACGGCACAACAAAAACCUUAUUCGACCAUUCAUGUUUCGCAGCGUCCACUAGAACCCACAUAUCAAUUCUACAUGUAGAAAGUCCAGUAGAUUCAGAGCCCAUGAUAGCAAGCUUUCCUUCGUAGCGUGUCAGCUUUGUAAACAGAGCGGUUUCUGGUGUUUUUAUAAGAUGAAACUUUUCAGACCUAACAUCAAAACUCAUGACUGCUUUAUCUUCGUCGAGAAAAGCCGGAUAUGUGUCAAGAUAAGCUUCAUAGUAUAACACACCAUCAAUGCAUAGAUCAAGAGACUCAGGUGCGUGAGGAGGGAAAUCUUCAAUCAUCCUCCAAGAGCUCCCAUUUCCCAAUGUCAAAACCCGAAGGUCCUCAGCUAAACCACGUCGCCAACCAAUAUUCAUUCCUUUAGUCAUACACAAAACUUUGUAAUCACCAUGAAUGGGAUCAUAAUCUAAGUAGUGGUACAUAUCUCUCCUCUGAGAAUAAAUCUUGGGCAGAGUAAUAGAUCGUCUAGUGCUAGAGUUUAUGAUUAAGGAGGUCCAUGGCAAAUCCAUGAACAGAGGCAGAGAAAGUUGUGUACGGCGUAGGAAAGCAUUUCAUAUGGUAACUUGCUACAGAAGUUGAUGAUGAUUCACCUUGAUUUUGGGGUUGAAUCGAUUUUGCCAAAACCUUGUUGAGAAAAAGGAGAAGAAAUGAAGAUUAGAUAGGUUUUGCCUUAUUAUAUGCUAAGUCCACAUAAUAAAAAUUGAAUAAUUUUAACUCAUAGGUUUUAAAAUAUGUUUUCCUUUCAUUCAAAAUGCGCAUUUAUCACUAUUUUUAUAAUGAUUAUUUUUUUCCUUUGCUUGACACCAAAUAAAGUGUUCAACACGUUUUAGGGUUUGAUUGGCUGCAAAACAAGUAAUAACAUUUGGGGUUUAAUUUGGUUGACUGAGUCUGAAACACGUGUCCUCGACAAGCUAGCCCUAUGCACGACGUCAUACUACCUGAUGAUACAAAAGGUUAGCCCUAACCUACAUCCUUCUCAACCGUCCAAAAUUCACCUGUAAAUCUAUCUCACAAAGAUCAACGGUGAUUCUAGAGUACGACACUAAAGAGUAACAAUACAUAAUAGUACAAUUUUAGUACCAUCUGAAUGCAUUUUAUCUUCUCUCCUUAGCUUGAAGAAAUUACGUACAUGCAAAAUAAAAAUGGCUCCGAGUAUAUCAACCAUCAGAAAUUACUAUACUCACCAAGAGUACUCUGUAGAUUUCUUUGGAGAGGAAUUGAUCGUCAACGUAACGCGAACUCCAUCGGUAAUCAGAAAAUGGAUCAACAACGUCCACUUCUUCAACCGUUUUACCUCUCACCCUCUUGUUGUUGGACUCGGCGUCUAUUGGACACUGCCUGGUCACUACGCUGACCCUCCGCCUGAGAGUUACAAUCGUCCAGCGGAUACUCUUCAGUUAUGCGUUGGUACACGAUGUAUAAUCAUCCAGCUUUCUCACUGUGACCACGUCCCCUAUGCCCUCCACAACUUUCUCGCGAGUUACACGCACGUUGGUGUGUGGAAUAGUCAAGACGCGACAAAGCUAGAGCAGUGUAGACAUCAGUUGAAGAUUGGGAAACUUUUGGACAUAAGGAGGUUUGUUGAAGGUUCAAGAGGGAGCUUGAGGGGUUGUUCGUUUGAGGAGAUUUUUGAAGAAUGCAUGGGUUAUCGAGGAGUGAGGCUAGAUCCCGAGGUAAGCACGAGUGAUUGGAGCGUUUACGACCUUUGCGAAGAUCAGAUCCUUCAGGCGUCAAUAGAUGUGUAUGUUUGUUUCAAGCUCGGUGUUAGGGCUCGUCUAUGGGAAGUUUGAGAAAAUGUUUCAAAGGAAUCUUUCUUUUGUUAGGUUGUGAGGAAAAGAAACUGUUUUCCACUCGUUAAUUUAUUCCAUGCGUAAUAAGUAGUUGUAUCUUUUUUAUUUGUUUGGGCAACAAUAUCUUUCUUUUUUGUUGAUGAAGAUGUUGUAUAAUGUUAUUAAGGAAUGAUAGGAUUUGUAAAUGUUAUAACUAUAUCUUUGAUUACAAAAUUGAUGGAUUGAUUUAUCUCAAUUAAACACACUCAUCCUCUAUCUAAACCUGUAAUUCACCGGCUUGGAUUAUGUGCAAAAGAUUAUUGCUUCUAAUUAAAGGUGCAUAAACAUUACUUCUUCUAUACAUAAUCAAAUCCUUUUCUCUUUUGUAGCAAGUUCAGCAAUAUUUGCAUAUGUAUCCAAAUACAAUUUGGUGAGAUAAAUACUUAAAUUUCUGAUAAAUAAACAAGUGAAAGUUUUGACCAAAAAAUUAAAUAAAUUAAAGUGAAAGAUGAAACGAAGUCUUUCAAGACAAAUAUUUUUACAGUUUCUUUUUUUUUUUUGUCAAAACAUAUACAUGUCCAUUAACAUGAGGUACUCGCAAUUUGCAAAGAGUUAUACUAGAGAGAAGAAACGAAGAAUGGAUUAUAUAUGGUUUUGCUUUCUUAUAUAUUUCCACAUCAUUUAAAAUUUUAAACCAAAAUUAAUUGAAUAAUUUAAUUAACUCAUAAACUUUUAUAUGUAUGCUUGUCUUACAUUCAAAAUGCGUAUUUAUCAGUAUUGUUAUAAAUGAUGAGCUUUUUCAUUGCUUGACACCAAAUUAAGUGGUCACCCUCACCCACGUUAUAGGAUUUUAUUCGGUUGCAUAUUUUUUUUCUAAUAAGAACCGGAACCUGAAAUUAUCUGGGGUUGGGGUAACUAAAACGUGUGUCCUCGAGACAACCUAUACACGCAGUCCUACUACCUGAUGAUGCAAGGCUAGCCCUAACCUACAUGCAUCUCAACCGUCCAAAUCAUGAAUCUCUCUCACAAAUAUCAACAUUGAUUCUCAUUAAAGCAUUGUUUUUCUUCUUCUUAGAGCAUGAGCAAUGGAAUAAGUGCAAGGAUAUGUCUUAAAAGUGAUUAAUUAUUAAAAUAAUGUAAGACAAAAGUAUUGGCUUUAAAUGAGUAUAUGUAAAAUAAAAAGGUGAAGCGUAAUAAACAAAUUAUCUACGUUGUGGGAACGCGUGGGAACACGGAGCUAACAAAUUAUCCAAUCAAAACGCGCCCUUGUGGCGCUAACACUCUCCAAGAAAAGAGUGUAACUUAACACUCGGAUAUACAUAAAAGUGGACUAUUCUAAUUAUUUUGGAUUUUUAAAUUCUAACACCCAACCAAAAGAUGUACCGAUGUGUAUGGCCUUAGAGAAAGUACAUGCAAAAUCAAAUUGAAAUUACUCUCUCCUUCAUGUUUUACUUAUAACUUGAUUAGAUACUACUUAUAUAAGGCUUUUAAAGCCACACUUAAAUGCUAUUGCAAUUUAAGACUUUUACUCGGGAGUUUAUCAAGUAAAACGAAACCUCUUCACUUCAACCAAAAAGCCAAACCACAAAGAAAACUCUUCAUCUUCAUCAAAACUUGGAAUAUUGUGAAGACGACUCAAGCCCACAAGGUAUCAAAAACGUUUAAUUUCUUUUAUCAUUGCAUGAAGAUUUGUUUUGUAAGAAUCUUAAUCUCUGUUUGAUCUCAUGUGGGUAGCAAUAACCAAUGACAACGUUAAUCGACUCAUACGCUGCACAAUGUUGGAAGUGUCUCAAAGUGAGAUAUGUAGAGUCCCAAGAAAAAUACGAGGAUAUUCGAAGCGAAACACCGAAUAAGUCUUUUGAAUGCAGGAGCUGUGAAGAACCUGGAGAUGUGGAUAUGAACUUUGAUUCCCCUGCUGUGCGUUGGUUUCAAGAUCGACAUGGUAUACCCAAAACCCCUCAAGGGUUGAAGAGGAUUUUGGUUGUUCGACGAAGCGGCGAGAAAGCCGAUGUUUAUUACCAAACAGAAGCUCCUAAACGAAAGAGACUAAAGUGUUUCAAGGACGUCACUAAGUUUAUUGAAGACAAUGAACAAUUCAAAGACAUGAAGAUAGAAGAGGUUUCUUUUGCCGCACCCAAACGAAUGAAGAA
rnacentral:lncRNA from 1 species